rnacentral:sRNA from 1 species
GGAUAACGGCGGCGAGCGGACGGCUGCAUUUACGGGGUCUCCCGGAGGGCCAGAGUCGUGGCUUACAGAAGAGACGAAAUGUGGUCUGAGGGACGAUAUGAAUAUGAAAGAAUUCCGAGAGAACGAGCACCUCCUCGAAGUCAUCCCAGUGAUGAAUCUGGUUAUAGAUGGACAAGAGACGAUCAUUCUGCAAGCAGGCAACCUGAAUACAGGGACAUGAGAGAUGGCUUUAGAAGAAAAAGUUUCUACUCUUCCCAUUAUGCGAGAGAGCGGUCUCCUUAUAAAAGAGACAAUACUUUUUUCAGAGAAUCACCUGUUGGCCGAAAGGAUUCUCCACACAGCAGAUCUGGUUCCAGUGUCAGUAGCAGAAGCUACUCUCCAGAAAGGAGCAAAUCAUACUCUUUCCAUCAGUCUCAACAUAGAAGUAUGUAUUUUAAGACUUUAUUUUUUUCUCUCACAGUCUCCUCUGAUGAGAAUGUACUGAGUCAGAUUUCCUUCUAGGUGUAAGAGAUUUAUUUUUUAAACUUUUUAUUUGAAAAAUUUCAAACUUACAGAAAAGAUGGUAGAAUAGUAUAACAAACACCAUACACACACAUUUUUUUCAAACUAUUUGAAGUGGCAUUCUGCAUGAUACUUACCUUUAAUUU